rnacentral:rRNA from 1 species
CCUUAGUACGAGAGGACCGGGAAGAGGGGACCUCCAGUGUACGGGUUAUUCUGCCAAGAGUAAACGCCCGGUAGCUGUGUUCCAAGCGGAUAAGUGCUGAAAGCAUAUAAGUACGAAGCCCACCGUAAGAUGAGAUCUCUCAUAGCAUAAGCUAGUAAGUCCCGUUGCAGAUUACAACGUUGAUAGGUCGCAGGUGUAAGAGUGGCAACAUUUUCAGCCGAGCGAUACUAAUAGGACGAGGGCUUUCCUUA